rnacentral:rRNA from 1 species
GACGAACCGAGCGAACGUUGUUCGGAAUCACUGGGCUUAAAGGGCGCGUAGGCGGGCUGCCGCGUCCGGGGUGAAAUGCCACGGCUCAACCGUGGAACGGCCUCGGAUACGGGCGGUCUCGAGGGGGGUAGGGGCAUCUGGAACUGUGGGUGGAGCGGUGAAAUGCGUUGAGAUCCACAGGAACUCCGGUGGCGAAGGCGAGGUGCUGGACCCCAUCUGACGCUGAGGCGCGAAAGCCAGGGGAGCAAACAGG